rnacentral:rRNA from 1 species
GAUGAACGCUGGCGGCGUGCCUAAUACAUGCAAGUCGAGCGAACGGACGAGAAGCUUGCUUCUCUGAUGUUAGCGGCGGACGGGUGAGUAACACGUGGAUAACCUACCUAUAAGACUGGGAUAACUUCGGGACACCGGAGCUAAUACCGGAUAAUCUUUUGAACCGCAUGGUUCAAAAGUGAAAGACGGUCUUGCUGUCACUUAUAGAUGGAUCCGCGCUGCAUUAGCUAGUUGGUAAGGUAACGGCUUACCAAGGCAACGAUGCAUAGCCGACCUGAGAGGGUGAUCGGCCACACUGGAACUGGAACACGGUCCAGACUCCUACGGGAGGCAGCAGUAGGGAAUCUUCCGCAAUGGGCGAAAGCCUGACGGAGCAACGCCGCGUGAGUGAUGAAGGUCUUCGGAUCGUAAAACUCUGUUAUGAGGGAAGAACAUAUGUGUAAGUAACUGUGCACAUCUUGACGGUACCUAAUCAGAAAGCCACGGCUAACUACGUG